CCUACGAGCGGCUGCAGUGGGGAAUAUUGCACAAUGGGGGGAACCCUGAUGCAGCGACGCCGCGUGAGUGAAGAAGUAUUUCGGUAUGUAAAGCUCUAUCAGCAGGGAAGAAGAUGACGGUACCUGACUAAGAAGCCCCGGCUAACUACGUGCCAGCAGCCGCGGGAAUACGUAGGGGGAAAGCGUUAUCCGGAUUUACUGGGUGUAAAGGGAGCGUAGACGGCAGGGCAAGUCUGGAGUGAAAGCCCGGGGCUCAACCCCGGGACUGCUUUGGAAACUGCCAUGCUGGAGUGCUGGAGAGGUAAGCGGAAGUCCUAGUGUAGCGGUGAAAUGCGUAGAUAUUAGGAGGAACACCAGUGGCGAAGGCGGCUUACUGGACAGUAACUGACGUUGAGGCUCGAAAGCGUGGGGAGCAAACAGGAUUAGAUACCCCUGUAGUC
rnacentral:rRNA from 1 species